rnacentral:rRNA from 2 species
CCGAACCGACUAAUGUUGAAAAAUUAGCGGAUGACCUGUGGCUGGGGGUGAAAGGCCAAUCAAACCGGGAGAUAGCUGGUUCUCCCCGAAAGCUAUUUAGGUAGCGCCUCGUGAAUUCAUCUCCGGGGGUAGAGCACUGUUUCGGCUAGGGGGCCAUCCCGGCUUACCAACCCGAUGCAAACUGCGAAUACCGGAGAAUGUUAUCACGGGAGACACACGGCGGGUGCUAACGUCCGUCGUGAAGAGGGAAACAACCCAGACCGCCAGCUAAGGUCCCAAAGUCAUGGUUAAGUGGGAAACGAUGUGGGAAGGCCCAGACAGCCAGGAUGUUGGCUUAGAAGCAGCCAUCAUUUAAAGAAAGCGUAAUAGCUCACUGGUCGAGUCGGCCUGCGCGGAAGAUGUAACGGGGCUAAACCAUGCACCGAAGCUGCGGCAGCGACACUGUGUGUUGUUGGGUAGGGGAGCGUUCUGUAAGCCUGUGAAGGUGUGUCGUGAGGCAUGCUGGAGGUAUCAGAAGUGCGAAUGCUGACAUAAGUAACGAUAAAGCGGGUGAAAAGCCCGCUCGCCGGAAGACCAAGGGUUCCUGUCCAACGUUAAUCGGGGCAGGGUGAGUCGACCCCUAAGGCGAGGCCGAAAGGCGUAGUCGAUGGGAAACGGGUUAAUAUUCCCGUACUUGGUGUUACUGCGAAGGGGGGACGGAGAAGGCUAUGUUGGCCGGGCGACGGUUGUCCCGGUUUAAGCGUGUAGGCUGGUUUUCCAGGCAAAUCCGGAAAAUCAAGGCUGAGGCGUGAUGACGAGGCACUACGGUGCUGAAGCAACAAAUGCCCUGCUUCCAGGAAAAGCCUCUAAGCAUCAGGUAACAUCAAAUCGUACCCCAAACCGACACAGGUGGUCAGGUAGAGAAUACCAAGGCGCUUGAGAGAACUCGGGUGAAGGAACUAGGCAAAAUGGUGCCGUAACUUCGGGAGAAGGCACGCUGACACGUAGGUGAAGUGAUUUACUCAUGGAGCUGAAGUCAGUCGAAGAUACCAGCUGGCUGCAACUGUUUAUUAAAAACACAGCACUGUGCAAACACGAAAGUGGACGUAUACGGUGUGACGCCUGCCCGGUGCCGGAAGGUUAAUUGAUGGGGUCAGCGCAAGCGAAGCUCCUGAUCGAAGCCCCGGUAAACGGCGGCCGUAACUAUAACGGUCCUAAGGUAGCGAAAUUCCUUGUCGGGUAAGUUCCGACCUGCACGAAUGGCGUAAUGAUGGCCAGGCUGUCUCCACCCGAGACUCAGUGAAAUUGAACUCGCUGUGAAGAUGCAGUGUACCCGCGGCAAGACGGAAAGACCCCGUGAACCUUUACUAUAGCUUGACACUGAACAUUGAGCCUUGAUGUGUAGGAUAGGUGGGAGGCUUUGAAGUGUGGACGCCAGUCUGCAUGGAGCCGACCUUGAAAUACCACCCUUUAAUGUUUGAUGUUCUAACGUGGACCCGUUACCCGGGUUGCGGACAGUGUCUGGUGGGUAGUUUGACUGGGGCGGUCUCCUCCUAAAGAGUAACGGAGGAGCACGAAGGUUGGCUAAUCCUGGUCGGACAUCAGGAGGUUAGUGCAAUGGCAUAAGCCAGCUUGACUGCGAGCGUGACGGCGCGAGCAGGUGCGAAAGCAGGUCAUAGUGAUCCGGUGGUUCUGAAUGGAAGGGCCAUCGCUCAACGGAUAAAAGGUACUCCGGGGAUAACAGGCUGAUACCGCCCAAGAGUUCAUAUCGACGGCGGUGUUUGGCACCUCGAUGUCGGCUCAUCACAUCCUGGGGCUGAAGUAGGUCCCAAGGGUAUGGCUGUUCGCCAUUUAAAGUGGUACGCGAGCUGGGUUUAGAACGUCGUGAGACAGUUCGGUCCCUAUCUGCCGUGGGCGCUGGAGAACUGAGGGGGGCUGCUCCUAGUACGAGAGGACCGGAGUGGACGCAUCACUGGUGUUCGGGUUGUCAUGCCAAUGGCACUGCCCGGUAGCUAAAUGCGGAAGAGAUAAGUGCUGAAAGCAUCUAAGCACGAAACUUGCCCCGAG